UCAGAUGGUGUGGAAUGUGAAGGGUCCUGGAGGUCUGCCAGAGUGAAUCCCCAUCCUGCAGGGGCUGAGGCACCCAGCUGCUACCAGUACUACCACCAUGGUUUUGUGUUAGGUGCUGAGGACACAGUAACAAUCAGAUCGAUCCAGACCACACUGUGCUCUCAUUCCAGCUGACAAAAUUGUCAAAAAAGAAAAAUGCAAUAAGUGCUACAACAGAGAUCUAGACAAAGUGUAGCAGGGCCACUUGGUGGGACCCUGCUUUGUCCCACACACAGAAUUUCUUGGAAUUUAGUCACGUGGACCUUCUUUUUUCUUCUAAAUCUCAACCAUAUUAUCUAUCUGGCUGUGCAAGGAAGAUCAAUAAGGAGGAGCUCUAACAAUUUCCAUUGGUUUUCUGCAAUCCAAACCGAGAUGAUCCAGGCUUAAACAAGACGUAGGGAGUCUGGGGGUAGAGAAAGGCUGAUUCUUUGCUGUAUCUUACAGGAGGUCUACACUUAUGAAUUCCAGCUUUUCAGGUGGAUAAUUUGACAUGAAGGUUUGUUCUUUGAACAUUUUUAAUCAUUCUAUCCUGCCUCCCAAGGCUCCCAAGAGACAUUUUACUGAAAUAGAAGUAAAAUGCUAAAUACUUUA